AGCGGACAGAUGGGAGCUUGCUCCCUGAUGUUAGCGGCGGACGGGUGAGUAACACGUGGGUAACCUGCCUGUAAGACUGGGAUAACUCCGGGAAACCGGGGCUAAUACCGGAUGCUUGUUUGAACCGCAUGGUUCAAACAUAAAAGGUGGCUUCGGCUACCACUUACAGAUGGACCCGCGGCGCAUUAGCUAGUUGGUGAGGUAAUGGCUCACCAAGGCGACGAUGCGUAGCCGACCUGAGAGGGUGAUCGGCCACACUGGGACUGAGACACGGCCCAGACUCCUACGGGAGGCAGCAGUAGGGAAUCUUCCGCAAUGGACGAAAGUCUGACGGAGCAACGCCGCGUGAGUGAUGAAGGUUUUCGGAUCGUAAAGCUCUGUUGUUAGGGAAGAACAAGUACCGUUCGAAUAGGGCGGUACCUUGACGGUGGCUAACCAGAAAGCCACGGCUAACUACGUGCCACCAGCCGCGGUAAUACGUAGGUGGCAAGCGUUGUCCGGAAUUAUUGGGCGUAAAGGGCUCGCAGGCGGUUUCUUAAGUCUGAUGUGAAAGCCCCCGGCUCAACCGGGGAGGGUCAUUGGAAACUGGGGAACUUGAGUGCAUAAGAGGAGAGUGGAAUUCCACGUGUAACGGUGAAAUGCUAAGAGAUGUGGAAGAACGCCAUUGGAAACGGGACUCUCCGGUCUGUUACUGACCCUGAGGAACGAAACCGUGGGGAGACGAACCUGAUUGAAUA
rnacentral:rRNA from 1 species